rnacentral:rRNA from 1 species
GAUGAACGCUGGCGGCGUGCCUAAUACAUGCAAGUAGAACGCUGAAGCUUGGUGCUUGCACCGAGCGGAUGAGUUGCGAACGGGUGAGUAACGCGUAGGUAACCUGCCUCUUAGCGGGGGAUAACUAUUGGAAACGAUAGCUAAUACCGCAUAAAAGUCGACAUCGCAUGAUGUUGACUUGAAAGGUGCAAUUGCAUCACUAAGAGAUGGACCUGCGUUGUAUUAGCUAGUUGGUGAGGUAACGGCUCACCAAGGCGACGAUACAUAGCCGACCUGAGAGGGUGAUCGGCCACACUGGGACUGAGACACGGCCCAGACUCCUACGGGAGGCAGCAGUAGGGAAUCUUCGGCAAUGGGGGCAACCCUGACCGAGCAACGCCGCGUGAGUGAAGAAGGUUUUCGGAUCGUAAAGCUCUGUUGUAAGAGAAGAACGAGUGUGAGAGUGGAAAGCUCACACUGUGACGGUAACUUACCAGAAAGGGACGGCUAACUACGUGCCAGCAGCCGCGGUAAUACGUAGGUCCCGAGCGUUAUCCGGAUUUAUUGGGCGUAAAGCGAGCGCAGGCGGUUAGAUAAGUCUGAAGUUAAAGGCUGUGGCUUAACCAUAGUACGCUUUGGAAACUGUUUAACUUGAGUGCAGAAGGGGAGAGUGGAAUUCCAUGUGUAGCGGUGAAAUGCGUAGAUAUAUGGAGGAACACCGGUGGCGAAAGCGGCUCUCUGGUCUGUAACUGACGCUGAGGCUCGAAAGCGUGGGGAGCAAACAGG